GCCCUGGGGGAGCCCAGCACCAGCUGGGGAGCCUCAGGACACUGAGCUGUGGGAGGAACUUUGACCAUGGCCUGGAUUUCUCUGCUCUUCUCACUCCUGACUGUCUACACAGGUUCUGGGGCCUCCUAUGUGCUGACUCAGCCACCUUCAGUGUCC